rnacentral:tRNA from 1 species
AAAUGGUGACUAACCUCGCCCUUUGCAA